GACGAACGCUGGCGGCGUGGAUUAGGCAUGCAAGUCGAACGGUAUCAUCCUUUCGGGGGUGAGAGAGUGGCGAACUGGUGAGUAACACGUAGGUUAUCUACCCUCAAGACGGGGACAACCCAGGGAAACUUGGGCUAAUACCGGAUGUGAGCAACUUUUAGUUGUUUGAAAGGUGGCGUAAGCUGUCGCUUGGGGAUGAGCCUGCGUCCUAUUAGUUAGUUGGUGAGGUAACGGCUCACCUAGGCAAUGAUAGGUAGGCGGCCUUAACGGGUGGUCGCCCACACUGGGAUUGAGAUACGGCCCAGACUCCUACGGGAGGCAGCAGUCGAGAAUAGUCUACAAUGGUCGGAAGACUGAUAGUGCGACGCCGCGUGAACGAUGAAUCCCUUCGGGGUGUAAAGUUCUUUUAUAUGUGAGCAGUGCUUCUUAUAUUAACAGUAUGGGGAGAGAGAUAUUAGCAUAUGAAAUAAGCAACGGCUAACUCCGUGCCAGCAGCCGACGGUAAAA
rnacentral:rRNA from 1 species